CAGUAUAAAUAUUUCAUUUUUUAAAGUGCUUUACAGGGUGGAAAUAAAUUUAAACAGUGGUACACUGCCAAAGACAUACUUAAUGGAUCACUAAAGGCACCCAAGACCACUUCAUCUCAAUUAAGUGGUCUGGGUGCAACGGCCCUUUAGUUUUAACCUUGCAAUGUUAAACACUGUAGCUUUGCAGAAAUUGCAAUGUUUCUAUUCCAGGGUUAAACACAACUCUAGAAGCAGUCUUCCUGACAGCCAAUAGAGACGCUUCCCCUGUGAGAGCCGACCCCAGUCAGACUCGAAUUUUAAUCAAAUUCUGCUCCUAGAGGGCAAUUUAUCGGCGCAGGGAUUUGCUGCACAUGUGCAAUAGCCUCCCUAUGUUUCCCUACAGGGGAAGCAAUAGAUUGGCUGAGAUCAUCAAUCUUGGUGAUCUCAGCAAAGAGACAGCGUGGCAUGUUUGUAUUGCCAACAUUAU